GGACAACUCAAUAGAGAUGCCAUCGCACGUUAACUCAGUAGUCGGCGCGGCGCCAUCCGGGCUCGAGCGGGCACGUGGGAAAGCUGACAGUGGGGUGGGACUAUGGUCUACCAGAGACUUGAUUUACUGGAUAGUGUACCAGUGGAUCUCGGCGGCCGGGCAGCGCUGCAACAGGGACGGGCGUGGAUAAUCCUCCGAAGAUGGCGUGUACCUGCGAUGGUACCAGCAGAUUGUUUUAUAUGAUAGUGUACCGGUAGAUCUUGGCGGCUUGUCUGCAGCAGCGACAUGCACGGACGAUCAUCUGAAGAUGGCCUGUACCAGGUAGUUUGAAGAUUGCAGGUCCUGCUUUAGUAGUAGAGAUAUGACUGCAUCCUGGGUGCAAUUCAGGGUCCCCUUUAAUUGACAGUGAUGAGAUUGCGUCAUUUUAGCCUUGAUGAGAUUACAUAUCUUUUGCAUGAGAUGAUACCUGCCUAAUGUCUGGGGUGAGAUUACGUACCUUUGUGACUGCAUAUAUCUCGCCCCAGGUUCUCAUUUAAUUGAUUUAAUUGUGUUAGCGUUAUUGUGAGAUUACAUACCUUUGGAGCGUGAUACCUGGUCAUUUAUGUGAGAUUGAUUUUUUCCUU